GACGAACGCUGGCGGCGUGCUUAACACAUGCAAGUCGAACGGAAAGGCCCUGCUCUUGUGGGGUGCUCGAGUGGCGAACGGGUGAGUAACACGUGAGUAACCUGCCCUUGACUUUGGGAUAACUUCAGGAAACUGGGGCUAAUACCGGAUAGGAGCUCCUGCUGCAUGGUGGGGGUUGGAAAGUUUCGGCGGUUGGGGAUGGACUCGCGGCUUAUCAGCUUGUUGGUGGGGUAGUGGCUUACCAAGGCUUUGACGGGUAGCCGGCCUGAGAGGGUGACCGGCCACAUUGGGACUGAGAUACGGCCCAGACUCCUACGGGAGGCAGCAGUGGGGGAUAUUGCUCAAUGGGCGGAAGCCUGAUGCAGCAACGCCGCGUGCGGGAUGACGGCCUUCGGGUUGUAAACCGCUUUCGCCUGUGACGAAGCGUGAGUGACGGUAAUGGGUAAAGAAGCACCGGCUAACUACGUG
rnacentral:rRNA from 1 species